rnacentral:rRNA from 1 species
GGGGAGGACCAGUGCCAUUCUUAACGGGAUGGCUUUUCNUUAGUGUAAAGAUCUUUUGGAAUAAGAGCUGGGCAAGACCGGNGCCAGCCGCCGCGGU